UACGUAGGGUGCGAGCGUUAAUCGGAAUUACUGGGCGUAAAGCGUGCGCAGGCGGUUCGUUGUGUCGGCGGUGAAAGCCCCGGGCUUAACCUGGGAAUGGCCGUUGAAACUGGCGAACUGGAGUGUGGCAGAGGGGGGUGGAAUUCCGCGUGUAGCAGUGAAAUGCGUAGAGAUGCGGAGGAACACCGAUGGCAAAGGCAGCCCCCUGGGCUGACACUGACGCUCAGGCACGAAAGCGUGGGGAGCAAACAGG
rnacentral:rRNA from 1 species